rnacentral:rRNA from 1 species
CAGUCGCCGCGGUAAUACGUAGGUGGCAAGCGUUGUCCGGAAUUAUUGGGCGUAAAGGGCUCGCAGGCGGUUUCUUAAGUCUGAUGUGAAAGCCCCCGGCUCAACCGGGGAGGGUCAUUGGAAACUGGGAAACUUGAGUGCAGAAGAGGAGAGCGGAAUUCCACGUGUAGCAGUGAAAUGCGUGGAGAUCAAGAGGAACACUCGUGGCGAAAGCGAGUUACUGGACAAUAACUGACGCUGAGACUCGAAGGCCAGGGUAGCGAAAGGGAUUAGAUACCCAUGUAGUCCCUGUCUCUUAUAU